AUUCUUUUUUUUUUUUUUCUUUCAGCCAUUUCUUUUUAUUUACAGUUUGUGUUCAAUGCAAAUCAAUUCCAUAAGAAGUUACUAUGAAUCAAAGCGUAAAUACACAAACACAAUAUACAAUCCAAAAUAGAUGUACAGCUGUGGCCAUAUUAGAUUACUGGAACAUCUAAGCAUCAGUGUGUGACCAUGCGAACAAAAGACUUCGGGGAGUGUCUAUUUUUAAAAAGGUUUCUGUGUUUCGAGGCAGUUGUAAAAGAUUUACUGCAGAAUCAAGCCCACUUUUAGGCUUAGGACCAGGUUCUAACUAUCUAAAAAUAUUGACUGAUAACAAAAAGUAUUCCAAAUGUGGCUAUUCUGAUCCAUAGUUGUUUUUUAAAGAAAAAAAAGUAUAUACAGAAAGAGUAUAAAAGUUUGUGAAUUUAAUGCAAAUUAGCUUCCAGUCUUCACUUCCCAAAUACUUGAUUUGUAGUUUUGACUCCUUUACAUUUUUGCCUUCUUAAUUUCAAGAUUUGCAAUUUUGCCUUCAAAACAGAUCUUUUUUUUUAAUUGUAAAAAGUAUUCAACAUAUGCAGAAAUAAAAAGCAUUUUGAUGGCUGGGCGCGGGGGCUCAAGCCUGUAAUCCCAGCACUUUGGGAGGCCGAGGCAGGUGGAUCACCUGAGGUCAGGAGUUCGAAACCAGCCUGGGCAACAUGGUGAAACCCUGUCUCUACUAAAAUUACAAAAAUUAGCCGGGCAUGGUGGCAGGUGCCUGUAAUCCCAGCUACUUGGGAGGCUGAGGCAGGAGAAUCGCUUGAGCCCGGGAGGCAAAUGGUACACUGAUCUGAGAUCACACCACUGCACUCCAGCCUGGGCGACAAAGUGAGACUGUCUAAAAAAUAAUAAUAAUAAAAAGCAUUUUGAAAUUAGUCGCGGUCAAUGCAAUUCUACUCUUUGGAAUCCGUUUAGCUAAAUGAAUGUAGUGCUCUUGUUGAAUGGAAAUAGGUGAUAGGAAAUGCCUACCAUUUGACUCAAUAAUGUAAAACUUCAUCUAGAGUAUUGAAUCUCCAUUCCACAAUCACAUCCUUUAUUUCUAUUCUUAUUUUCAAGGUAGUAUUAAGUGUCCAUAUUUCUCAAGCCACAUUCAAGGAAAUCAUGUCUUAACUAUUUUGGAUGUUGCCUCUCCUUCAUCUUGUACAUGAAACUCCAGCAGAUUUAAUAUUGGCAUCCAUUUUCUGUGUCAAUAAAAGGUGUGGAAUUAG
rnacentral:lncRNA from 1 species